ACCCACAAACAGUUUAAAGAAAGUAUAUUUUAGGGUUAGAGUUCUGAAUUGGCUGAGAUGCACUAGUGAAAUGGCUAAUGGAACAAAUUCACAAGAUUAUAUUUGGUCUUACGAAUAUUAUGUGGGCUAUCUAGAUUUGGCAUCCGUUGAUGCAACAAAGCUGAAGGCACACAGAUAUUCAAUUGUCAUAGCCUUUUGGAUUGGUCUUGCUGCUUUUGUGGCAUUUCUCUUCUUCAUUUUGUUCUACAUCUCCCAAACUGGUUACACAUCAAUAAAGAAUGGAAGAUCACAGAAAAUGUUUCCAUGGAAUUAUUCAAAAAAUAAACAUCAGCAAAAUGUGGCUACUAACCAUGCUGAACCAACCCUUGCAGAAAACGAUGUGGAGGAAACAGAAGGUUCAAGAUUAAGUAAUGCACAGAAAUAGAAUGGCACAGACUGGUGGUAUAGGAGAAACUAUGGGAGGGAUGGGAAUGAGGAAGGAUUUAGAAAUUCUCCCUCUCUAGAUGUAAUUCUCACCUUCCUGGAUAUGAUAAUCCCUUAGGAGCUUAAGCAGACCCCCUCCACUGUUUUCCUUAGUCAGCUUGGAUUGGCAUGCUAGUCAGUUGAUCACUCUAUUACUGACAGUCUUGUUUUUGACCACAGUCAAAUGUUCCAAUCAAUCAAGAAUGUUGUGCAGAUUGUGCCAGUUUAUUCUCUGUACCUUGUUCUAGUGCCAUUUGUUAUCAAGGACAAACAUUUACUUGCCACCUAGCCCUGCAGCAGUCAUAGCCAAGUUACUCACCACCCGCUAUGACUGCAAGAAUUGGUCUGCUGCUGUUUGCUUAGCACAAUAAUCUUAUUUUUAAAAAAAAAAAUAGAGCUUUUUAGGUUUUAUUUCCAUGUUUCUUUCUUUUUUUAAAAUUGUACUUUCAGGAAAGGAGCCUAAUAGAACUUCUUCAACAAAGCAUGCACAUUUAUAGAAAUUUCAUCUAAAAGUGUUGAUUUUAUUAGCUUGAGUCCAUAUCUUGUUUUCCAAAACCACGUCAGCUGGCUUGACUAGGGGCAAGUUCUGCUGAUCUCCCUUGCCACUGCAAAUCCCUAGUUUUAGUGAAGAAUGCCCUAGUUUCAGUAGCCAAAUGAACUACUGCAGCUGAGGUAACUCAACGCUUCGUUAAUUACUAGUGAACAGAAGUUGAUACUAAGCAUUUUACACAUAAAUGCAUAUAUUUCUGUGUUUUAACAUCUUUUCUUCCAGCAAUACAGCCUUUCGAUUUUAAGCCCUAUGUAACAGGCUAGCACUCUGACAUUAAAGUAAUGCCACCUGUACAAGUAUAUCAAAGGAAAAUUGUUUUAAACAUUGUGUUUUGCCAUAUUUUAUUUUUAAAAAGCAUAUAAUACAUAUGUAUAAGGUCAAUAUCACAUUAUUAAAGACAUUAAUCAGAGUAGAGGACUCAACAUGGAUUAAAUACAUUAUAUCUGUACAUUGUUCUCUGUUCCCAAAUUAAAUAAUGCUGAGAAAUUAUAUUCUCCUGUAAUAACACCCAACUUGCAUGAUCAUCUAGAAGCUUUCUGUUUCUAUUGAAACAAUCAGAAUAUGUAAUACAGCCCAGCUCCUUAAUUCCCAAAAUAGCAGGAAUGAGAACUUUAUGGUAAUUUAUUCUCAUACUAAAUAACUCUCUUAAAGUGAAUGUUAACAUUUUGAGUGAUGUCAAGGAAGUCAAAAUCUCAUUUUAAAGUUGUUGGGUGUUCUGUACCAAUACUUCAUUUAUUAGUCCAUGCCACUUUGAUUUAAUACAGAAACAAUUAAUAUUAACUUUUUGAACUUUAAGACAAAAGCCUCUUGUUUUCCAGUAGUAAUACAUAAAACAGCCUUAACAUUUUAGUUUCUUACUCAAAAUCCGGCAUCGUUUUAAGGUUGCUCAAAGCUUACAUUUUGUACAGGACUAUUAAAAAAUUCCUUAGACUCUAUGUAGAUAGUUUAAAAAUAAUCACAAGUGGUUUCAGGCAUUUAAGACUUCAAGGAAUUGUGAAGAAUUAAGUACGAAUAAAUGUCUUUGCACAGCAAAA